rnacentral:rRNA from 1 species
UACGGGGGGGGGCAAGCGUUGUUCGGAAUUACUGGGCGUAAAAGGGCUCGUAGGCGGCCAACUAAGUCGGAUGUGAAAUCCCCCAGGCUUAACCUGGGAACUGCAUCCGAUACUGGAUGGCUUGAAUCCGGGAGAGGGAUGCAGAAUUCCAGGUGUAGAGGUGAAAAUUCGUUAGAUAUCGGGGAGGAACACCAGUGGCGAAGGCGGCGUC